rnacentral:lncRNA from 1 species
CUAUCCGAGAGAAUUUCACUUUUUUUCCUUUUGAUGAUCGAAUUAAAGGCAACAUGAAAUUUCUUUUUUAAUAGAGUUUCAAGUAAAUUAAUGAACUAUAUGCAUAUGAAUUCUACUUCAAAAGGAAUGACAAAUCAUCAAGCAAAGAAGCAAGAAGAAUUCAAGAUGAAUUCAACUAAAAGAUUCCUAGCCAUAUUUUCAUCCUUAAUUUUCUCAUAAAUAAUGUUAGAUUAUUUCUUAGACUUUUUCUAUAGAUUUUUUUCUAAAUUUUUUCUUGGAUAAUUUGCUAGAUUGUUUUUCCUAGAUUUUCUCCUAUAUUUUCUCUUAGAUUAUUUCCUAGAUUUUCUCUUAUAUUUUAUCCUUGAUUUUUUCAUGGAGGAGGAAUUGUGCUCUACUUCAACAUGAAAGCUUUUAAAGCAUAUACCAACUCAACUUUUACCAUAAAAAUUAAUUAAAUAUUGAAGACCAAAUUCAAGUCAAAUAAUGCAUAGAGAAUGAAGCCACAACACCAACACUUUUCAAGACAUAACACUUGUAAUUCUACUUAGUUCAUGUUAUCUUAAUUAUUAUUUAAUGCUUUCCUAGAGUAAGUUAAAUUAAGGAAUUUAAUUAGGAUUCUAGUUUUGGAGUUUUAUUCAAAUAUGUAAGAUGAAUGCCUAUAUAAAGGAUGCCAUUAUUAAGUUGUAAUUAGUUCAUCACUUAUGCCAAAUUAAUAAAAUUAAAGUUUGCUUUAGUUUACACUACUGUGAUUACUUUUUGAGAGGGUUGUUCAACCAUCUUGUUGAGUUGAGGAUUAAUUCAACUUAUUAAGAUAAUCUCUUGUAGCGUUUUAUCAUUUUCUUUUAAAUUAAUUUCUAAUUUAUCAAGUUCGUACUUGUAGCAUUUUAAUCAAUUAAAACUAUCCCAAUUACCUUAAUUCAUAAUUUAAGGUGAAUUAUUGGGUAAGUAGGGAGGAUUUUUUUUUUAGGGUUUAUGAUUUUGUUUACUAAUGUUAUAUGCUAGGUUUUUGAUCACACUAGUUGAUCUUUAACUACCAUAACUACAGUGAGGCUAAAAAAAUAAAGUUAGUAGCAGUUGAGUUCACAGAUUAUGCACUUGGUUGGUGGGAUCAAGUGAUCGCCCUCAGGAGAAAAGAUUAAGACCAACCUGUAUCCUCUUGGAGAGAGAUAAAGUCCAUCAUGAGAAAGAGGUUUAUUCCAUCUUAUUAUGACAGGGAAUUGACCAAAAAGUCCAAAGAUUGGCCUAGGGAUCCAUGUUUGUGGAAGACUAUCACAAAGAGAUGGAGAUGACAAUGAACAUGGCCAGAGUUUAUGAGAGUCCAAAAGCCACCAUGACUAGAUUUUUGAGUGGCCUGAAUAAAGAGAUUACCAAUGUUGCGGAACCACAUCACUGUAUAGAUAUAAAAGAGAUGGUGUACAUGGCUAUGAAGAUUGAGAGACAAUUGAAGAACAGGGGUUCCUCCAGAGGAAAUUACUUGUCUACUCCUUAGUAUAGCUCUAGAUGGCCUAGAAAGGAGGAGAGAAAGAGGUUUGAAGAAAGCAGGGACAAGUCCAGUUCUACUAAAUCUAAAGAAAACCCUAAACCGCUAACACAACUCAAAAUGAAGUUCUAUUAAAUGUUUUAGGUGCCUUGGAGUUGGACAAAUUACUUUCUAAUGUCCUAAUAAAAAAUCAUAUUAUUGCAAGACGAUGGCAAGAUAGAGAGUGUUAGUGAGUACAGUAGUGAUGAUGAUAGCAGAACAUCACUAAAUAAUUUUGAAGAUAGUCUACUAGCCCCAGUAGAAGGUGAGAUCCUAGUUAUGAGGAGACCAUUGAAUAUGCAAUCCAAAGAAACGGAUAACGAUCAAAGAGAGAAUAACUUUCACACUGGAUCACUGGAUGUCAUGUGAAUAGGAAGUUAUGUAGUUUGAUUUAGAUGAGGCAAUUAUGAUAAUGUUGCCAGUGUCCUACUAGCUGACAAGUUAGGGUUGUCAUGCACUAAAAAUCCUAAUCCUUAUAGACAACAUUGGCUUAAUGAGUAUGGAAAAGUUUGGGUAAACAAGCAAGUCAAGAUUCCUUUCUCCACCAGCAAAUAUAAAGAUGAGGUAUGUUAUAAUAUCGUUCCCAUACAAGCCAAUCAUAUCCUGCUUGGACGACCAUGGUAAUACGAUAGACACGUAUAUCAUGAUGAGUUUAAAAAUUAAAACUCUUUACGUCUAGAUGGUUUAAAACACAUUUUGAUAGCUUUAUCCCCAAAAGAGGUCUAUGCUGAUCAGAUCAAAAUCAAGAAAUCUUUUAAAGAAUAUUUAGAAAAAAAAAGAAAAAAAAAUGAAAAAGAAAGAAAAUAGGCUAAAAAAGAAAAGAAUGGCCCACUGAGGAUACGGACCCCUGAAAAGGAAAGAUUCCCCAAUCAACAAAAAUCUAUGUUGGAGACCCGAGGAGAUGGACUUUUUCAAGUCCUAGAGCAUGUCAAUGACAACACCUAUAAAAUUGAUCUCCCAAAUGAGUACGAUGUGUCUGCUACAUUUAAUAUUUCUAUCAUUUUUUCUUUUAAUAUAGGUGACGAUUCGAGGAUGAAUUUUCUCGAAAAAUGGAGGAUUAUGUAAACCUCGACGUAAAAGACACAUGGAAGGAUGCUUACUCAAAAGACCAAGAAGACAAGUAGGGGGAAGCAGGAAGAAGAUUCAAUUCCUAAAGGGACAUAUUACCUAAGCUCGUGCCAAAAUUUUUUAAAAAGCUUUCAACAUUCUUGUUCAAAGUUGGAUCACAUAAGGAAGCGACUUUAAAGCCCAAAUAGCUACAAGAAAAAGCCCAAGAAAACUAGAAGAACCUCAGCCAUUUCUGAUCGUUUGGGAAGAGAAUGGUGAUGCAAUCCUGCUCAUCGGCAUGGGAACUACACCAAACUAGGAAAGACUGAGUUGGGUUUCUCUUUGAGGAGGCUUGAAGCCCCCUCUAUGGACUUUGAUUAACCUACAAAAUAAAAGCAAAAAUAGAAGCAAAAAAGAUAUAAAAUAAGACACUUACUGACGUGAUACCUACUGAAAUCGCACCUAAACCAAAUAAGCAUGAGAAGCGAGCAAAUACAGAUGAGUUUUCGAAAAAACGAGAGAAAGCAAUUGCGAGGUAACAAUACUCAAAGUUACUAUGUUCUUGAACAAGUAUCAGACAGCGAGGCCGACUCUAUCAGGCAGAGUUCCCGACCUAGGAAGAAAUGACACCAAAAGGUGUUAGAAACCCAAAGGGUAAUAAGCCUUACUACUAAUAAACGACUCGGUCCAAAAAUCACAGCCCAAGAAAGAAGUCCAAAUGUAGUUUGGGUUUGGGUACCCGUGGGGUACACAUGUGUUGCAAUACACGUACAGGAUACUUGGCUCACACAGCCAUUGGUGUUCCCUGGUUUAGUAGUAAAGCAGUCAAGGCAACCCUAUACUUUGCAAAAAAACUGAAGACAAACAACUUUCUUGACAUAGAGACCUAGAGGCCCACAUGCAAGCAAAGAGGUCCACACGUGUGUUGGACAUGCGGACCACCUCGCAUGGCCAACGAACAUGCACGUGUGUUCACAUGGAAUGCGCGUAUGAGCGCCUGAUAGCACCAACACACGCGACCCUCUAGGCCCAUGUGGAACCGACUGUGCGCGCAUAGGCCUAAGAGGCCGAAUGCGUGCACCCCAUGCAGACAAGCCUGUAGACGGUCCAAACAGUCCAAGUGCAGCCCCCAACUCUCACGGGCCUUCUCCCACGCAACCUGCGCGGACCGGCCAGCCCAAUCUAUCCGGGUAGACAAAACCGACCGACCCCCUUUUUUCCUUUUUAAAAUAAUUAAGUUAUUUUAUUAUUUUACAUUUUUAAAAGGCUUGGGACUCAUUUUUUAAAUUACCCAUAUUUUAAAAUUAAUUUCUACAUGUGUUUUAUAGGGAUUUCACAUGGGAUAAAUAUGAGUUUAUUUUAAUUAGUAUUUUAUUAUAAUUAUAUCCGUUAGGAUUAUUUAAUUAAUGUAUUUGAAAUAUAAUAAUUAAUUUAUGAUGUAAUUAUCAUAGAUUUAGAUAGAAUUUUAUUUAAGAUAUUAUUUUAUUAAAUUAUCUCAAAAUUUUAUAUUCAUCUAGAUUGCCCAAGAAAGGCUAUAAAUAUACAUUUGCCCUUAGGAUGUAAACACACCAUUUGAGAAUAAAUUUGAGAGAAUUCUUGAGAGUUUCAACUUUUCUUCUUUUAGCAUUUUUACUAAAAUUAGCUUCUUCAAGUUCUUCGAGAAGUAGGAGUUUUCAAAAGUUUUGUUGAGAUAAGAAGCGGGGAUCAACUUAUCAGUAAGUCCGUGGCAUUUUUUCUUUCUUUGUUUAUUUUUUUUUUCUUUUAGGAUUGUAAAUUCAAUUAGAGGGAUGAGUUAUUCUAACGAUUAUAAUUUCUGUAUUGCAUACAUUGAGUGGGUUUCAAGAGUUGGUUUGAUCCUCCAUAUACCCUCCCGCGUCACUUACAACCAGAGAAGGAUUCUCCUUCCUAUAAGCCAUCUUCUAGUUUUUUGAAGUUGUUUCCCUGAUCUAUCGCAAGAAAAAAAAUUUCAUGGCUACACAAUAAGAAGAAAAAAAGAGGAAAAAUGUCAAAGAUGAGUAGAAAAAGGAAACUAAAAAAAGGAAAAGAGGAAGAAGACCGCACAAUAUGAGAGAGUGGGUGUCAGCCAAGAGAGGUAGAGUCCUACCUGACUUCUAACCUGUUCACAAUUCUAGAAGAAGUAAUCUGUCUAGCCACUACCUGCACAAAAAAUUAAAUAAUAAAGAAAUCAGAAGAUGAAGCCAUGUGGAAGACAAGUGUCAAAAUACAAAAGGGAGUCUAAGCCUACCAAAGAUUAGGAGUCUAACUUAGUUAAUUCUAGAAUUUUUUUGUUGUAAUUUUUUUUUUGAGUUUUAAUUAAAUUAAGUUUUAGCAUUUUAUUAAGAUUAGAAUUAAAAAUUAUGUCUAGGAUUCUUAUUUCCUAGUUUGAGUCAAAUAAGAAUGGUCAACAUUAUAAGUAGAGCCAAUCACCCCUCCUUGUAUUAAUAAAAUUCAUGUAUUAUUGCUUUAAAGUUUCUAAGCUUUCAAGAGUGAGUGAGUGGGUCUUCGACCAACUUAUUGCACUAGGAAUUGGAAUCACUUAUCGAGGUAAGUCUCAUGACAUCUUUUCAAUUCUAGUUCUUUAUUUCUUUUCCUAUAACCUUAGUUUUCAUUCCCCUGUUGAGUACGGGUCAAGUAGGAAGGGUUUACUUAGGAUUUUGAGUUUCUGCUUGUUGAUAUCUAUACAGGGUUUCGGAUUGCAUUAUUGAUCCCGGACUUCACAUCACUAUCUUUAUCCUCAACAUGCGUUAAACCCUAUUAUCUUUUAGUUAUAUUGUAUGUAAUUGUCAUUUGUCUUACAUGGCUUGGAAUCAUCAUCUUUAGGUUAGUGACCAUUUUGAGAGUCUCUUAAAUACAAUAUAUUUCAUAUCCUAAAUCCAUCACAAGAAUAAAUUCUUGAUCACCUAAGUAACCUCAAUACUAUGGCACGUUUUCAGUCUCUCAAGAUUUAUGUGUCUACUUUAAACUAUUAUUUCCUAAUUUUUAAAAAUUAAUAUUUAAUUAUUUGGAGUAUACUAUCUAAAAUCUUCAAUAAAACCUCUAGGUAUCAACAACGUAUACAUCAUUCAUGAGGAUUUAGGGUUUUAAUCUACUUUGAUUGUUCGUAUUCGUAUAAAAAAAUUCACUAACAUGAAGAUUUAGCCUUACUAUUAUGUUUUAUAUUGACAUUCCUUCAAGAUAGGUGAGUACAGAAAUUAAGUGCGUGUGAUGGUUUUCAAACCCCUAGAUAUUACUUGUGGGUUGGUCAUAAUACUAGGGUUUUUAAGACUUUUUUCUCUUUUAUUCCAAUGACUUGGCAUCUUUGUGAAUUAUCCUUUAGCUGAAUCAUAUUAUUUUUCUAAAUCCAUCAAAUGUUGAAUGAUUCUUAAUAUACCUCAAUUCUUGAUCAACUUAAUCUGAAAGUCCUUUAGAAUGUACGUGGUAAGUCUUGGAAUCCAUGGCUAUUAUCAAGAAUCAUUAAGAAUUCCUUGGGUAAAGGAUUCAUUUAUUAGUUUUACUAUGAGUGGUUAAGUUUGGUUCCAUCUCUUGCAAGAUUAGGGAUAACAGUUUUGAGUUUCUAAAAUUUUUAAGUGAUAUCUCUUGAGUAUGACCUUAAGAUAUGCGUCACAUGUUUAUCAUUUCAUUAAUUUCUUCUUGUUAUUUUAAAGAGGAAUCUUCCAUGCGUUAUGGGUGAUGGGUCCACUAUUAAUGUGAUCCCAUACACAAUAAGUACUCAAGGUGUUGAUAAAGAUGAAGCUGCAAGUAAGUCAUCCUUAAUUCCUGUCCCAAUUCAAGCGAAAACGCUAUAAGUGUCAGAGAUGGACUUGGGCAUAUAGGAAAUCAAAUCCAAUUGCCCCUAGGUCUGAUUAUAAGAGAUGUGCUAAGAAGAUUUAAAAUAUUUUCAAUCUUGUGGUCUAAGAAUGGGUUAGUAGCGAGAUCAUAAUUAAAGACCAAGAUAAGUCCCAAAAGAAGGUUCCCGACCUAGAAGACCUGCGGACAGCAUGUGUAGCACAUGUGAUCCUCCUAUGGUACAUGUGUAGGAAAUCACAUGUGCGGGAGGGAAAGAUCACCCACACAUGCAAGAUUGUCUCCUACAUGAGGCAGCAGUCGCAUGCAACUACGUACGCACAUGAGUGCACAUAUGCCCAGCGGGCUACACAAUAGCUGAACAUGUGCAGAGACACAUAAUUGCAUGCCUAGAUAGACGCGCACGCGCAAGGAAGCUUCCGCGCACCAAGAAGAAUCCUUAAUUCUUGUUGGGCAUUCACACAUUACCUCUUGCACCAUUCACACGCUACCUCGUGCGCCAUUCACUCGCUACCUUGUGCGCCAUUCACACGCCACCAACACGGCCAGGCUGACAGCUGCAUGGUGAGUCAUUUUUGGACUCUUUUCUACCAUUUUUCCUAAUUUUUCAAAAACAAUAAAGGACUUCUACAAAUAUUUUCAGGUGAUUAAAGUACAAAUUUAGAGGUAAAUUUCUACUUAAAUUGGAAAUCCAAGGAAGAUAAAGCUACAUAGAGAUUUGGAUAAAGAGAGAAUAUUAUUUUAGUAUUUAUUUUUAAUUAUUAUUGAUCAUUUUAUUAAGUUAGAUAAUACUUAAUUGUUUUAUUAGUUUUGUUUAAGAGUUUUAGUUAAAUUUCGUUUAAGAGUUCAAAUAGGAAUUUGUAAUCUUACUCCAAGUGGAAUUAGUAAAUAAAAACCUAUGUAAAGGCUUCAAUCUUUAGGUUGUAAACAUAGCUAGAGUUUAAUAAAAUUUUAAAGCUUUUAUUUUGCUUCUAAAUUAGUUUUGGCUAAUCUUUGAGAAUGUUUUUCAAGUUUUUCAAGUUAUGGAGCUUUAGAAGCUUUGUUGAGUCAAAGAAUUGGGAUUGACUUAUCGGUAAGCCGUGGCAUCUUUCCUUAUUCUUUUUAUUUCUCAAUUAUCUUCAAUUUUCAUACCAUAAUGGUGGAAAUAGUUUCAAGUAGAAAUAUUAAAUUAAGUGGUUAAACUUUCUAAUUGUUACGUUGUGUGCGAUUUUGAGAGUCAAAAUAAUCCUUCCCCAUCCCCUCCUGCAUCAACUACAAUUUUGUUGUGCUACUAGGAUAAUAUCUACUUGGAGGUUUGUCAUAAUAUAUUGCUAUCUUGUUCUACUUUGUUCCUCCUUUAAGUAUAUAGGAAAUAUGUGCUGGAUUUAUCAUCAUAUUAUUAAUGAUUUUUUUGUCAGAACAUGUCUAUAGUGUCCUGGCUUUCUUCCAUGGGAGUUUUCCUUAGGAGUAACAAGGAUUCUUAAGAAAGAGAGACCAAAUUAGGCAUACUUUGACACAUCCAAUACAAAAUGUUUCUAUCCACCAGAUAUGAUGAAUAAUGUCUAAGGUUUUUAAACUAUCAUCUCUUAUGUGGUGUAUAGGAAUUUAAAUGAAUAGAAUAUUCAUUUAAAAAAAAAAAGUCAUGAGGAACCUCAAAUCUAUUCAAAUCUACGAUAGUUAUUCAUUUUUUCGAAUGUUUCAACAUUAGGCCAAUUGAUUUUAGAAAUUGUAUUUCUUUUGUGUUUGUAGUGAAUUUAGGAAGAUUCCUAGUUAGGUUUACUUUAUUUCACUUAUUAGAAGUAGUUCCCAUUCACCAAAUACAUGAUUCAUUCAAUCUCCCAAAAUACAGUUCUCCUCAAAGCACAUGAUUACUCAAUGACUUGAAAUUUUAUAUCAUUAUUGUAAUCCCUAUGCGGAAGCUUGAUUGUAGUUUUGGAAUAAGUAGGGUACCCAUUCUUCCUACAGAAUAAUUUUGAUGAAUUUACAAAAACUGUCAAAGUCUUGAUAUUUAUCUAGUCUCUCAACAUGUUUGGAUAUUAGGUCUAUUUUGAUUUCUAUAUCUUCUUAAUCUUUAUUGGAUUUAGGAGAUGUUUCCUUGAAAACUUACCUACUUGGGAGGUUUUCUUUCACUUUUAGGGAAUUUUUUUUCACAAAGGGUUUUCUUUCUAUUAAGGGGAUUUUCUUUUUCUUAGGAGCUUUCUCUUAUUCACAGAAUUUUCUCCCUCUCAAGGGUUUUUUUCCUGUCUUGGACUUUCUUCCACUUGGGGGAGUUUUCUCCUGUUUGAGGGAUUUUUCUCCUGAUCGGGGAUUAUCCUCCUGAUUAGGGGGUUUCCUCCCACUAGGGGAAAAUUUUUUCCCAUUUGGGAGAUUUUCUCUUGAGUGGGAAAUUUUUUUCUCCAUUUAAAGGAAGUUGGAGAUCUCUCCUCCAAUUGGGGAAAUGCAGUUUCCUUCCAAAACUUUACUUGUUCACCAUCUCCAAUUGACUUCAGAAUGAAGCUCCAAUCUUUUGAUUCUUAGAUUUUUCAUAUUGUCGUCUAUGAAUUCCUAUCUAUCAAACUCUUAAAAUUAUAAUCUUACAUUCUUUUGGGGGUCAGGUAUUCCUCUGCGUGAAGAUUCAAAAUGCAUGACCAAUCAUUCAAAUAAUUAUUUUCUUUCUUCCUAGUCUCUGGUGAACUUAGGGAAGGUAUUCUUCUAGAGAUUCAUCCAUGUUAUUUGUGCAUUUAAGAAUUCUCCUUACAAUCUCUAAUUGAAUUUUGUUGCUUAUUUAUGCUUUCUAUUCUAAGGUGGGACUUAUCAUUCUUAUUUGUACUUUCUAUUCUUUUAUCUCCCUUAGGUCAAUUCUUUUAUUAAUAGCUUAAGUCUUUAUUGGUAUUUAUUGACAUUCUCUAUGUUUCAUUAUAGUCAUAGUUUAUUCAUUCUCUCUAGUUGACUCUAGAGUGAAGCCAUAGUUCAUUGAUCUUAAAUUUAUCAAAUUAUAAAAUACGCAGAUCCUACCUUUAGGACUUCAGAAUACACACUCUUCUGUUUCCUUAACAUGAUCUCCUACAUGCAUAUACAUUUUACUUCUCAAUGUAACCUUCUCUAAAGAUGUUUCCUAAUGUUUGCAGACUUCAUAUAGUCCUAAUCCUCAUAGAAUCCUAAGCCUCAUGUAACAAAUGAUGCCCUAGGAAUAUGUGCUCUAAUACCAACUGUGAUGUCCCGACUUCUCUACAAAGAAGGAAAGGCAACCACACAUGUAACGUUGACUUAUAGUUCAACAAUCUGACAAAAUUCAAAAUUAUUUCAUCCCUAGUACAAAAUUACAACAUAUGAAGCUCUAUAUAAUCUAUUUAUAAUCAAUAUUUUAUAUCUACUCUAUUUUUACAAUCUAAACUAAUUAAACUAAGAAAUUUCUUCAAAGCUCCUCCUAAAUCUUGAACUCGAUUCAAACAUUUCUUAUUUUCUCUGCUGCUCCUAAUUGAAAGAAAACCAUAGAAGGGGGGAAAGGUGGCGUGAGGGAAGACUAAGUGGGAGAGAGAAUCAGAGGCAGUUACACAUCAGUAGCAACCGAAUCUGCGCGAUUGAUGAACAAAUAUGUGCUUAUGAUGCGACGAUGAGGAGGACCUGGCUGCUUGUGUGUGGCUGAGUGGACGUCGCCGCAUACAGUAAGAGGAACUGGAAGGAGAGCGACGUAUGAAGGGAAGGUCACUAUAUCAGUGAGUAUUUGAACUCCCUAAAGUACAACAUGUUCCAGUUUAGAAAAUCUUAACUCCAUAUAUGUGUGUGCAUGAUGUAGAGGAGAAGGAGACCGUCAAAGGCAGAGAGCGAAAGAUAUGAGACGUGCGGGCCUUUGGAUUCAUGGUGAAAACAACUUGAUGUCUGAUAUGUAGAUCCUUUCCUUUGAUUAUUGUUUUAUUUCAAUUUAUAUUUUGAUUUCUAAUGAUUUCUAGUGGAUUGGAGUCCGAUAUGAUUGAUGAGAUAAUUAGGGGAUGUCAUAAAAGGUCCUAUGGUUACUGAGUUGGUCGGUUAAUAGUAGAUAUUGUUCCUGUGAUUUAUUCUACAAUCUAUUCUAGGGUAAUUUGUUAGUGUUGUUGAAGAAUCUUUUAGAGGUUUAUUAUAGUAUGAUUAGGUAUAUUGUUUAACCAAAUCUAUUGAACAGUGAGUAAAGAAAACGAAUGUUGAAAACAUAAGAAGGUGGAUAAUAAGUCAAAUGAGUGAGGGACAAUAUGAAUAAGUGUAAAUAUAAUUUUUAGAAAAGGAAUUCAAAUAGAUAGUUUGGCAUGUAAUUUUCAAAAUUAGAGGAGUAUUUUUUAAAAAAAAUUCAAAUUUUGAGGAGAAAAGUUUAGAAGGGGAAAUGUGAAAUCAAAGCAAAGUUAGGUCACAUUGACGAAUUGAGAAAUUUCUUACUCAGGUUUGAGGAACCAAUUUAAGAACUAAAAUUUUUGAGGAUUGACCAGUUUACGGAUCUGUUUCAAGCCAACGAAACAGUAAACAUUGGAUCAGUUUUCAUUCUGAGACUUGAUGUUUUUAUAAAAUAGUUUAUUGAUUUUGAAAUAAUCAUUUAAAGUCUUGUAAACUAUUUUCAAAUCAUAUACUGGUACAAAUUUUCUAUAAAAAUCUACAUACGAAUGUUAACUGUAUAUGAAUGAUCGUUUGUGAUUGUGUAUAUAUAUUAAUAUUGGUGCAAAUAUGAAUAUGUACUUGCUGUAUUGUAUAUAUUAUGUGCAGUCUAUAUUUAUAAAUUGCAUCUGUUCGCAAUACUUAAUGUAUGUAAAUGAAUAUAAGAAUUUAUAUGUAAAAUGUAUAGGUGUAAAUUUUGUGUAUAUCAGUUUAAUGUAUUGUGUGUAUUGUGUGUGUUUGAUACAUAUAUAUUUGUACAUGGCUGGUUGCUUAAUGUAUUGGGUGUGUGUAAGUUGGUGUAUGUAUAAAACUAAAUGUAUAUAUGUUAUAAGUUGUAUGAAUGUAUGCAUGGAUUGUAAGAAAAAUAUAUAUAUGCGAAUAAAGUAAGUGUAUGUACAUGAAAAUAUGUAUAUAUAUCAUUUGGUGUUUGAAUAUAAUGGUAUCUAAAUGGUUUAUGUAAAUGUGCGUACAUGAAAAUAUGUAUAUAUAUCAUUUGGUGUUUGAAUAUAAUGGUAUCUAAAUGGUUUAUGUAAAUGUGCGAUGUGACAUCCUGAUGCCUAUUUGGGGCAUCAAUGUCUAAAAAACAGACAAAAUAAACUUAGUUACAUUACAGCGGAAUAUCACAUCCCAUACAAAUAUACAAAUGCUGUAUUUUGAAGCUAACAAGACUAUUAGUACUAAUGACAUUAAUUAAAGAUAACCCUAAUCACAAUUACUAGACGUCAAAAAUUUCAAAAUAUACAAAAGUCUGCUCUCCACUUCUACUCUUCUCGGAAAGAAUCUAGGUAAGAUUCUUCAGAAAAACUCUCUAAAAUACUUAUUAAAGAAAAUGGUGAUAGAGUCAUGCACAUACGUUUAAAAACAUUCAUUAAUGUGGAAUUUUAAGAAAAUAGUGAUAUUCCUAACAAGAACAAGUGUUAUACUUGAAUCAAUUAGCCAUAUUGCAAUAUAAAUAACCAGCUCGAUUUUUAAAAGCACUCAAUACUAUAUGCAAUGUGUUUACGUAACAUAAACUCAAGGAUUGGACUGACUCUUCUUUUUACGUUUUUUUAUUAAUUUCUUAUGAAAUUAUACUGAUUAUAAAUCUAUGUGAGCAGCUGCAUACACCUAUUUUCAAAGAUAACAAACGGGACACCGACUAACUAUGAUUUGGUACGAAAUCAACAUAAUAAAUACAAAACAAUGACAUAAAAUAUACAUACAAUCUCUCAAAUCUUUAAGAGCGCCAUCCCACAAUUUCACUCCGAUCACCAACAUUUAUCUCUUGUUAGAGCAUGAACAACAAUCAUUUCAUAUUUUUUAGAAAACUAAACUGCAGUUCUAGUAUGUAACUCAAUACCAACAUCCAUAGCCUAAUGGUUCCAAAACCAAUACCAAUACCCCUCCGGGAAAAUUAAGUGAAUUGGAUUUACUAGAUACUGUGUUGUUUACAUUUUAAUUAUAUCUUAUUUUUAUUUUCUUUAUUCUUAUUACUUUCUAAAUAUUUGAAUUGAACUCCUAAAAUUUUAAUGAGGUUUAAGUGUAGUAGUGUUUAUUAUUUUGGUUACUUAGGUUCCUUCCUAUUAGAUCCCAUAUUUUAAUUUAUAGUCUUACAAUUUCUUAUUUGUCUAUUUAGGGUUUUUAAAGCUAAUUUUAGUGAUAAAUUAUUGUUAUUAAUUCAGUUUUAUAAUCUUAAGUUAUUAAUUUAAUUUUGAUUUAAAUUUUGUUUUACAUUUUAUGUUAUAUAUUUUAACUUACAAUUUCCAAUGUUAAUGUUUACCUUGCUUUCCUUUAAAUCUUUAAAUUUCUUUAUUUUACUGUUAAUCCAAUUUAAGCUAUAUUUAAGUUUCGAUUUCAAUUUACCGGUUUAACUUGCUUUAAAAUUUCAUAUUGCUUAAUUUUACCGUUAAUCCAAUUUAAGCUAUUUUAAAUUUUAAUUUCAAUUUAAGCAAAUUACCCACGGUCUGCCCAAGGGAAUUUUUCCCUUGCCUGCGCCCGUCGCAUGGUGGGCACAGGGCGGCCGGCCAGUGUGGCAUGUGCUGGGACACAAUGAGGUGCCUGCACAUAUGCCCCUACGUGUAUAUGCGCACUCGCUCGCUUUGAGCGCACUGCUUGCGCGCGCGCAGGCUCUCUCGGCUUCCCCAAAUGCCUGACAGAGCCUCACAAUUGCUUGCGCAACACACUACGCAUGUGCAAUGUGCCAAGGGAGUCUUUCAUGACACUUUUGGGUGACUGCGAAGAGUCUCGCGCGCAAUCCUGCACGGCUAGGCCGCGUGUCCUUUUUAGCGACACUUUGGUGGCUGGACACCACAACCAAAGGCAUUGAGCCUCUGCCCAGCAUGCUUUCACCGAUUUUUCUUCUAUUUUCCCUUCUGUUAUACAUUCAAAAACAUUAUAAAAUGUUUGUAAACAUCAAUCCAUAUUAAAAUCAUCACAAAAACACAAAUUUAAAUCAAGCAAACACAUAGGAACACACUCACCUUUCUAUUCGGUUUAACAGCAAGCAAUGCUCAAAUUUUAUGCAAAUUUACCAUCUAAAUACAUAUAUAAAUCUCAAUACGUGUAUAAACUAAAUCACCAUUCUCCUUACCUAUCAGACGCAUGAAGAUCUUCCUAAAAUGCAUGAGGAAAUUGCCUAAAAUUUGGAAAAACUCACUGCAACUUGCUUGAACAACAGCUACAAAGUCAGAGUGCAUUUUAGGAGGAAUCUGCGGAUUCUGGAGUGAUUCCAUUGCAGAUAUUUAUUUCCCAAGAAUCUCAAGGUGUAAAUGUAUUAAUUUUUAACUUGGGAUUAAAAGUAAUUCAAAGAUACAUUUGGAAAUUAAAGUAUCGAAGAUACUUUCUAGUUGCAGAGAAUAUUUUUUUUUCUUUGUAGCCUUCAGUGAAGGAAUUAGAAGUUUGUUUCUAUUUAAGGAAGAAUAUAAGACCUUAAGGACACUAGAAACAAUUUAAAAGAAGACAAAACGAGCUUACCUCAGCUGAGAAGAAAGCCAACUCCUCUUGGCAAGCACACAACCUCAACACUCUGUUUUCAGUCCUCCUCUCACUCAACUUCUGUCUACCUCUCUCUAACACUCUGACAAGCCACACACAUGAGCUCUCAACUCUCUCUUCUCUCUCUCAGUGAAUAAAUGAGGAAGACAGAACAGAAUGGAAGCUUUUAAACUGGGUUUUUGCUUCAAGGAGAGUCGUUAG